AUACGUAGGGGGCGAGCGUUGUCCGGAAUGAUUGGGCGUAAAGGGCGCGUAGGCGGCCCGGUAAGUCUGGAGUGAAAGUCCUGCUUUUAAGGUGGGAAUUGCUUUGGAUACUGUCGGGCUUGAGUGCAGGAGAGGUAAGUGGAAUUCCCAGUGUAGCGGUGAAAUGCGUAGAGAUUGGGAGGAACACCAGUGGCGAAGGCGACUUACUGGACUGUAACUGACGCUGAGGCGCGAAAGUGUGGGGAGCAAACAGGAUUAGAUACCCUGGUAGUCCACACUGUAAACGACGAAUGCUAGGUGUAGGGGGUAUCGACCCCUUCUGUGCCGCAGUUAACACAAUAAGCAUUCCGCCUGGGGAGUACGGCCGCAAGGUUGAAACUCAAAUGAAUUGACGGGG
rnacentral:rRNA from 1 species